CCCUUAGAUGUUCUGGGCCGCACGCGCGCUACACUGAUGCAUUCAACGAGCCUAUCCUUGACCGACAGGUCCGGGUAAUCUUUGAAUCUGCAUCGUGACGGGGAUAGAUUAUUGCAAUUAUUAAUCUUCAACGAUGAAUGCCUAGUAGGCGCAAGUCAUCAGCUUGCGUCGAUUACGUCCCUGCCCUUUGUACACACCGCCCGUCGCUCCUACCGAUUGGGUGUGCUGGUGAAAUGUUCGGAUCGGCCGUUUGUCGCGGUUUCCGCGGCUCGUGGCUGAGAAGUUCAUUAAACCCUCCCACCUAGAGGAAGGAGAAGUCGUAACA
rnacentral:rRNA from 1 species